AGAGUUUGAUCCUGGCUCAGGAUGAACGCUGGCGGCGUGCCUAACACAUGCAAGUCGAACGGGGCGCGCUGGCGGGGGCCCUCCGGGGCUGAAGCCGGCGCCGCCCAGUGGCGGACGGGUGAGUAACGCGUGGGCAACCUGCCCCGCACUGGGGGACAACAGCCGGAAACGGCUGCUAAUACCGCAUGGGCGCACAGCCCCGCAUGGGGCGGUGCGGAAAGCCUUGGCGGUGCGGGAUGGGCCCGCGUCUGAUUAGCUUGUUGGCGGGGCAACGGCCCACCAAGGCGACGAUCAGUAGCCGGCCUGAGAGGGUGGGCGGCCACAUUGGGACUGAGACACGGCCCAAACUCCUACGGGAGGCAGCAGUGGGGGAUAUUGCACAAUGGGGGGAACCCUGAUGCAGCGACGCCGCGUGGGCGAUGGAGCGCCUCGGCGCGUAAAGCCCUAUCAGCAGGGAAGAAAAUGACGGUACCUGACUAAGAAGCCCCGGCUAAAUACGUGCCAGCAGCCGCGGUAAUACGUAUGGGGCAAGCGUUAUCCGGAUUUACUGGGUGUAAAGGGAGCGCAGGCGGCCUGGCAAGCCUGAUGUGAAAUACCGGGGCCCAACCCCGGGGCUGCAUUGGGAACUGCCAGGCUGGAGUGCCGGAGAGGCAGGCGGAAUUCCUAGUGUAGCGGUGAAAUGAGUAGAUAUUAGGAGGAACACCAGUGGCGAAGGCGGCCUGCUGGACGGUGACUGACGCUGAGGCUCGAAAGCGUGGGGAGCAAACAGGAUUAGAUACCCUGGUAGUCCACGCCGUAAAC
rnacentral:rRNA from 1 species